GCAACCUAUGGGACGCAGCAGUGGGGAAUAUUGGGCAAUGGGCGCAAGCCUGACCCAGCAACGCCGCGUGAAGGAAGAAGGCUUUCGGGUUGUAAACUUCUUUUAUCAGGGACGAAGCAAGUGGCGGUACCUGAUGAAUAAGCCACGGCUAACUACGUGCCAGCAGCCGCGGUAAUACGUAGGUGGCAAGCGUUAUCCGGAUUUACUGGGUGUAAAGGGCGUGUAGGCGGGAG
rnacentral:rRNA from 1 species